UUUCCUUCCUUCUUUCCUUCCUUCCUCCAUUCCUUCCUUUUUUCCCUUCCUUCCUUCUUUCCUUCCUUCCUUCCUUUCUCCUUUCCCCCUUUCUUCCUUUCCUCUUUUCCUUCUAUUUCUGUCUCUCUCUGUUCUCCCCCUACCAGCCACAUACAUUCUUUAUUACUUGAAUAUCUGGGCCUUCAGAAUGGAACCCUGUAUGAUUAGCCUAUUUCUUUUUUUUAUCAUCUAUUUCCUCAAUGUGAUGGUUUAGGUUACUUCUCAAACACAGCCUAUUAAUGGACAUAGGCUUCUGCUCACUUGUCAUGCUAUUUAACUCUUCAUUGUUGUUUUGGAUGACCUGCAACCUUUAUUCCUCAGAGACUGUGAUGUUCCAUUCUUUGCAUCCAUUGAGCAUCACUGGGAGGACAGGCAUUUAAAAGAUGAGAAAACAGAUCCAGAGAGAUGAAGUGUCAACUUUCGAAGGAGAAAUCUGAGGCCUAAAGAGUUUAAAUGUCCAAGAUGAUACAGGCAAUAAGUGGCAGAGGCAAGAUUCAAAUCCACUGAACCACGAUGAUCGAAGACAAAAGUGAAACAGUCCCUGCCCUCGAGGAGCUUACAUUCUACUGGGGGAGUUCUUGGAACCUAUUUUAGAUUAUAAGCUCCUGGAGGGAAGAGGCCACGGCUGCAUAUCUUGGUCUUCUAGCACACCUAUGUAAUGUUAAUUCAGCGACACCUGACACCUGGUUUAUGCUUCAACGUCAAGGAAAAAGCUGCUGAGUCUUCCAUAUAACUGAAGCGGACAACUUAAUGCCAAAAACUUCUCUGUUCCUUGAACCACUGAAAAUGGAAGUCUUUCACAAGUAGAUGAGGCAAUUUUCUGUUUUUCCAAACAGCAUGAAUUAAACAUAAUUAAGCUCUUCUUGAGUGUUAAGGGUCAUCCUUUUGGACAUCCAUUUUUGCAUUGUACCCUAAAGCAAAGAUGAGCAUUCUUGUGGAUUGUUGCUUUGUAUUGAGCUGUUUGCCCUUACAUUGACUGAUCCCAGGUUACUGUGGUUUCAGAAUCCUUUUCUUUGCCUUUUAUGAUUGUCCUGUUUCUUCUUUCCCAGUUAAUAUAUCACAUAUUGACUCAUGUUAUUGUCAUUGUACCAAGUUCUAGCAUCUUCCCAAUCGCUGUUGAUUUACUGAUUCUCAACUACUGUGAACUGGAAGAUCAGAUCAUGUCACAUCAUCAAUUUUAUCUAAAACCAAAGUUAAAUAGGGUGUAAGUGAAUGCCAAGGAUGGUGCUUUUCAAUGACUACUAGCAUAGACUUUUUGGCCUCUGUUCUGGCUACUCAGAAGUUUUUUAUUUUGUUUUUCUUUGUUUCUUUUCUAGCCAUUGGCUGUAUUCCAAAUAGUUGAUGUUGCUGAGAAAGUAAUCUCUGGAUCUGUGAGGAAAUAACUAUGUAAAUACCAUCAUGCUAUCCUUGGUAUAUGGAAAUAAUAGUACUAUAAUAUCUAGCAUACUGAUUUUAGAGAAGAUGAGAUUUUAAUAUUGACUUAUGACACUGGGCAUAAUCUCUGAGCUUUAAUUUCCUCACCUAUAAAAUGGAGAUGACAAUGUUUGCACUGUUCACUUUGUAGAUUUAUUGUAAGGCAAACACUUUUAUGUAAAAAAAUUAAGGCCUUAUAUGGAAGUGUAAGUUACUGUUCUGUGCUUUGAGUUGUUCUUUAUUGUUCUUUUCUCACAAUUUUCUCAUGGAUACAAUUUCAAGAUUUGGCUGUAAUUAUGAGUAUAAUUUGUGGCCAAGGGUCAGAUGAAAAUGAAUUGACUUAUUGGAGGGCCAAACUCAGUUCCCUGGCUUCAGUACAGUGCUCUUACUAAUUAAGUUAUUGCAUCUAGAUAUGAAUGGCCUGAUUCACAUCUAUCAACCACCUGGUCCAUCACUUAGUCAUCGUGGUAUUGGACCAGAGUUAACAAAGGGCCAAGCACACAGUUACAUUGACUUAUCCUUCUCAAAAGUGGUUCUAAAACUGGAUGAACAUAUUCAGUGUAAACUGUACUUGUGGCUGAAGGUGGGGAGCAUAAUUAAAUUAACCCAGAAUAAUCCUGAAUUCUUGAGCUGUCUUCCUGUACCAGUCCUGAUUUUCCUUAUUGAUAACCAUUUUGGUUUCUACUCAGGCCCACUGUGAUUUCGUUUGAGACAUGAAUGUGGGUAGCAGCACAGUGUUAAGAAAGAGCAAUGGAUUUGGAGUCAGAGGACUUGGUUUUGACAACUUGUGCCUGCCACUUACAGUCUGUUAGGCAACUUACUAAUAAAGAUCUCUCUUUUGUCUACUUUUCCUAAAA